rnacentral:rRNA from 1 species
GGUCUGAGAGGAUGAUCAGCCACACUGGAACUGAGACACGGUCCAGACUCCUACGGGAGGCAGCAGUGGGGAAUAUUGCACAAUGGGCGCAAGCCUGAUGCAGCCAUGCCGCGUGUGUGAAGAAGGCCUUCGGGUUGUAAAGCACUUUCAGUCGUGAGGAAGGUGGUGUAGUUAAUAGCUGCAUUACUUGACGUUAGCGACAGAAGAAGCACCGGCUAACUCCGUGCCAGCAGCCGCGGUAAUACGGAGGGUGCGAGCGUUAAUCGGAAUUACUGGGCGUAAAGCGCAUGCAGGUGGUUUGUUAAGUCAGAUGUGAAAGCCCGGGGCUCAACCUCGGAAUAGCAUUUGAAACUGGCAGACUAGAGUACUGUAGAGGGGGGUAGAAUUUCAGGUGUAGCGGUGAAAUGCGUAGAGAUCUGAAGGAAUACCGGUGGCGAAGGCGGCCCCCUGGACAGAUACUGACACUCAGAUGCGAAAGCG